GGCCGGAAGUGAGUGUUAUGUCACCCGGACACACCCCUCAGUUUUUGUGGCUGUGACUCAGCCGUCACCGUGCCCAGCACUCAGCCAGCCCCGAGUUCACCCUCCCUUGGCACCUGUCCGCAGCCUGGCUCCACCCGGCUGCUCCUCCCCGAAGCAGGUGGGUGGGACCUGGAAACUGCCUGCCCAGGGGCCGGCCCGUGGGAACGGAGGCGGGGCCCAGCCACAAAGACCGUGGUCAUCGCCAUGGAGGAGAGCCGGAGAGCAACCCCCUGGACGGUGGGGAUGACUGUCACCCUCACGUCACCACACACACUGAGCAAACAAGGAAGUGGACCCCGAGAGGCAAAGGAGCUGAGAGCCCCCGGCAAGCGGCAAGCAAGGGGACCGGGAUUCUCCCAAGGACUCGGACUCCACAUCCAGAAGCACCAGAUCAAAAUUCUAGAUUUUGCUGAGGGGAUUCCUAGAGGCUCAGAGGGAGAAAGGCCCUCCGUACAAGCCGCCUGCUCCAGCCUUCUCCGUGCUGCCUCCUCUCCACCACACCCUGGGGAAUUGUACUCUCCCUGGGACAGGAGGCUCACUACCUCAUAAGAUGAGACUAUUCCAGAAUAGGCAAUGCUAACAGAAAAGCCCUCCCUGAGUGAAACUACCUUCUACCUCCUCACUCCUUCUGCCCUCUGAGACAACCCCCACGACAUAUCCCAUUACCUGUGACCCCUCUUCACCUCACAGCCCUUCGAAUACUUGUGUUAUCCUUCGAUCUUCUCUUCUUAGGAGUACAGUUCCUCAGAUUUUAAACCAUUCCUCAGACACUGUUCUGGCUUGUCGGCCCCAACACCUGCCACUCUCGCACCGUCCAAAACUGCUUCACUAGGUGACCACUGAAGACAUGCAGGACAGAAUGUCACCCUGAUCUCACGUUCUGCCUCAUGACAGCCUGGGGACGGAUGGCAAAGGCCUGGGCAAGAGGAGCUGUAUGGGUGGAGGGUGAGGACAGUCACAAGUGAGCAGACCCCUGAGUGUCCUCCGGUCAGUCAUCCAAUUGUCAUUCAUCCAGUUCCUGCUAUUGCCAAGCCAAUGCCAACUGGAGGCUGGGGUGGCGACCAGCACUUUGAGGCAGACGGAAGGCUCAUCAGGAAAGGAUCGUCAGGAAAGCUUCUCUAAGAGGAGAGGGUCAGGCUGCUCCAAAUGGAGAAAGGAGAGACCAGUGUAGAAAGAGCUAUCAGUAAGGACUUCACGGAAGAGUCAGUAAAACCUUUCACCAUGGAAUUAAAGAUAAGUCAUCAUCUCUUACCAGCAGCGACAAAUGCAUUCCUUUCGUGUAGUUUGUCUCAAGAAGACCCACGCGUGUCCUGUAACUCCGGGAAAAGAUGCUCCACAUCGCUGGUCAUCAGGGAAAUGCAAAUCAGAGUCAGAGGGGGAUGCCACUUCACAUCCCCAAGGACACUGCCGGUGGGAAUGCAAAACAGCACAAACCGGCUUUGCAAAAAGGCUUAUUCACCUGUGAUCUAGGGAUUCUGCUAGAUACCCACCCCUGAGAAACAAAAACAUUGGUGCAUGCAAAGAGUGUGUGCAAAUACCCAGAACAACGUUACUCGCACAGCUAAGGAGCCAGAACGAUUCACAAGCCCUCAGCUGCGUGUUGGGUAAACACCACACGCUCUCUGCCCCCGCACGCUGGGAUACCAUUCAGUGGGAAAAAGGCACAAGAGGCUAGCAUGUGCUCUGACCUCAAAAACAUGAUGCUAAGUGAAAGAAGCUAGACACGAAGACACACAGAGGGUAGAACUUACACAAAAAGUCCAAAAGAGACCCAUUUGUAGAAACAGAAAGUAGGUGAGCGGUUGUCCAUGGUCGGGAGUAGGAAUGGGGAGUUACUGCAAGCAGGCACAGGGGAUUGGGGUGGGGCGGAGAUGUUCUAAAAUUGGCCUGUGGUGACGGUUGCACAACUCUGUGCAUUUGCCAAAAAAUCACUGAAUGGUACACUGAAAAGGAGUGUUGGUGGUGUGUACAUCACACCCUGACACAACAGUUCAAGGAAGUGAUUCUCCUCCAGCCCCCACCAGAUUUUAUGCUCUACAAUGGCAGGGAUGGGCCCAUCUUUCUUAGCAAAAGGUACCCCAGCACCCGGAGCAGCUAGGUACACGGUGAGGACCCAGUAAAUCUGGCAGAAUGAAUGAACGAAGCCAUUAAAAUGAUCAUCUUUAGUUGGGCGUGUGGCCCCUUGGAAGCUCCCUGCCUUUCUUCUCCCCCUCAUCUCCUACAGGAAAGACUCAGCUACGCGGCUCAUCCACGUCCUCCCUGCCGUGCUGCGACCGUGCACUCCCAGGUUGUGAAGGCCCAGGACACCCCCAGGUCUCAGCUCCGUGACCCCAGGCAGCGUUCACUCCUGGCCUGGCAGAGAUGCCGCACCUUGCCUGCUCCUGUGGGCUAGCCUGGGACGGCUGACCUUUGCCUUCAGGCCACCUGCUGGGGGCAGCCAUCCUGUGUCUAUGCUGAUGGCCCUCAGUUCUGUGUCACAGUCCAACCUCAGCCCCUCAGCUACCAAUGGGACAGCCCACUGGCAUGUCCCCAAGACUCAAGUUUGAUGUCUCUAAAACAGAAGGUCCUCCUUGCCCUGAGCCCUGCUCCCCUACAGAGCCCCUGCCAUGAAGGAACCUUCCGGAAACACAGGCACCCUCCCUGACACCUCUCUCCCACUUCCUCACUCAUUCCUCCCCUCCCCACACCAAGUCCGGCCGAUGCUACUUCUAAGCAUCUCUUUUCUCCCCAGGUACUGCCUUCCACCAUCUAGAUGACAGUUCUCUGAGCUGCUCUCCUUGCUGGGACCAGAACAACCUUCUUGGAGAGAAUUGUGACACAGAAGCAGUGUUUUCUCACGGCCACAACAGACACGGACCGUGACGGACAGCUGACCCUGAACAAUGCGGGGUUUGGGGGAGCUGACACCCCCCCUCCUGCCGGGCAGUUGAAAAUUCACCUACACCUUUUGACUCUCCAAAAACUUAACUACUAAGAGCCUACCAUUGACGGGGAGUCUUACCACUAACAAAAACAAGCUGAUGAAUAAAUCCUAUACAUUCUGUGUAUUAUACACUGCAGCCUUACAAUAUUGUAAAGUAGAAAGAAGAAAAUGCUAUCAAGAAAAUUGUAAGAGAAAACACAUUUACGGUACUGUACUGCUGGAGAAAACCCACCUGUAACUGGACCCGCACACUUCGAACCCACGUUGUUCAAGAGUCCACUGUACUUGACUCCACUUGAUUUUCGUGAUGUUUACUUAACUCUGUACUUUCAAGGCUCAAACCCCUUUCUCACAUACGCCCCCUGCUGGGCAACUGGGAAUUGCUCCAGGCUCCGAAGCUCUCCCUCCCAGGUGUGCAGAAGCCACUCCCCCAACCCCCACCUGCCACCUCCCCACCCUGGGUUCACCUCCUCAGCUCUCCCCUGCCGUGCUUUCCCCCAGCCUCUUCCCACCUCGAUCAUCCUCUGAACCACCCCCCAGACCCACAUCUCAAGAACAAUAAGCUUGUCACUCCUCAAAAACAUUCAAUGGCUCCCUAGCGUCUUUGGAACUGAUCCAAAUCCUUUAGCCUGGCCUCCAAUAUCCUUCAUGAUAUGGCCCUGAACCAUCUUUCUGAAACUAUGCCUCCCUAUUCCCCUGCUUUCCAUGCAGUUUCCACUCAUUCUUUAAAGGGCAGCUCAAGCCGCUCCU